rnacentral:rRNA from 1 species
AGAGUUUGAUCAUGGCUCAGGAUGAACGCUAGCUACAGGCUUAACACAUGCAAGUCGAGGGGCAGCAUGACGGAAGCUUGCUUCCGUUGAUGGCGACCGGCGCACGGGUGAGUAACGCGUAUCCAACCUGCCCUUGUCCAUCGGAUAACCCGUCGAAAGGCGGACUAACACGAUAUGCAGUCCACAGCAGGCAUCUAACGUGGACGAAAUGUGAAGGAGAAGGAUGGGGAUGCGUCUGAUUAGCUUGCUGGCGGGGUAACGGCCCACCAAGGCGACGAUCAGUAGGGGUUCUGAGAGGAAGGUCCCCCACAUUGGAACUGAGACACGGUCCAAACUCCUACGGGAGGCAGCAGUGAGGAAUAUUGGUCAAUGGGCGAGAGCCUGAACCAGCCAAGUAGCGUGCAGGAUGACGGCCCUAUGGGUUGUAAACUGCUUUUAUACGGGGAUAAAGUGAGCCACGUGUGGCUUAUUGCAGGUACCGUAUGAAUAAGGACCGGCUAAUUCCGUGCCAGCAGCCGCGGUAAUACGGAAGGUCCGGGCGUUAUCCGGAUUUAUUGGGUUUAAAGGGAGCGUAGGCCGUCUGUUAAGCGUGUUGUGAAAUGUCGGGGCUCAACCUGGGCAUUGCAGCGCGAACUGGCAGACUUGAGUGCGCAGGAAGUAGGCGGAAUUCGUCGUGUAGCGGUGAAAUGCUUAGAUAUGACGAAGAACUCCGAUUGCGAAGGCAGCCUGCUGUAGCGUAACUGACGCUGAAGCUCGAAAGCGUGGGUAUCGAACAGGAUUAGAUACCCUGGUAGUCCACGCGGUAAACGAUGGAUGCUCGCU